rnacentral:lncRNA from 1 species
UCAAUAGUAAGCAUCUAUUUAUACAAUUGUUCGAAGCUAAGAGAAUCAAGAUAGAGUUGCAAUUGUUAAAGAGCAUAAUAUGUAUUUUGGGUCCAAAUGCUACAAACUUAACCUUUUAGGAAAUUAGUUGUUCAUCAUGGUAUCAAAGCUCGAUUUUGGAAUGGGUCUUACCUUUCAUUGUCUGACAAUCUGAUUGAUGGUGUCUCAACCAGCUCAAAAGAAAAGAAAAGAAAAGGUAAAUUAAGCUCAAUAGUAAGCAUCUAUUUAUACAGUUGUUCCAAGCUCAGAGAAUCAAGAUAGAGCUCACAAUUGUUAAAGCACAUAAUAUAUAUUUUGGGUUCAAAUCCUACAAACUCAACCUUUUAGGAAAUUAGUUGUUCAAUAUGAUAUCAAAACUUGGUUUUGGAAUUGGUCUCACCUCUCAUUAUCUAGCAAUUUGGUCGAUGGUCUCUUAACCUAGGGCCUGGUGUAUGAGGGGAAUAUUGUUGGGUUUUCCCAUAUCUCUUAUAGAAGGAAUUGGGUGACUCCUUAUCAGUGUGAGGGAAAAUAUCUCCCUUUAAGUUAAUUUUUAGGGUGAUAAGGCCCAAAAUCACCCAAUAGUAGUAUCCCUAAUAUAUCCUCUCUUUUUUUUUGGUUUUACUUUAUGAUAUCUUAACCUCAUUAGGUGGGAGGUGAGCCUCAUAUGGUGGCACACUAUGGGCACCUUGUUUGAUGAAGUCAAGUGGUAUCAAUACAUGUUUUUUUUUUCCCAAUUCAUUAAGUUCAAGUGUAAGCCCGAAAAUAGAAGCUAGGCAUGUAUGAGGGAGAGGAAGGGUGUUAUAGAGAGAGAGAGAGAGAGGUGGGAGGUGAGCCUCAUAUGGUGGCCCACUAUGGUCACCUUGAUCGAUGAAGUCAAGUGGUAGAGAGAGAGAGAGAGAGAGAGGUGGGAGGUGAGCCUCAUAUGGUGGCCCACUAUAGUCACCUUGAUCGAUGAAGUCAAGUGGUAGAGAGAGAGAGAGAGAGGUGGGAGGUGACCCUCAUAUGGUGGCCCACUAUAGUCACCUUAGAGAGGUGGGAGGUGAGCCUCAUAUGGUGGCCCACUAUGGUCACCUUGAUCGAUGAAGUCAAGUGGUAUCAAUACAUGUUUCUUUUCCCAAUUUAUUAAGUUCGCAUGUAAGCCCGAAAAUAGAAGCUACACAUGUACG